GUAGGGGGACAUAAAAAAAGAGAAGGAGCAGCAAAGAGGGCCUGGGGUUGGAGGAGGGAAGUGACUCACAGCAAUAGGGGGGCCUCCUGUGGACCCGUGUCUUGGGCAGGGGUUGCUGUAAUAAACACAGCAAGGCCCCAUCCAGCCGCUGGAAGAUGCUGAGUGUGAGCAGAGUCUGGCGAAGGUCGGGGGACAGGCCCCACUGCUCCUCUUCCAGCAAUUCCCUGACUACUCCAAAGUCCUGUCUGAGCUGCAGCGCCCCCUGCAGGCUGAAGGCCAAAGUACAAUGUAGCCAUUUGACCCUCCUGCCUCUCCAAAGGGCUCUGCCCCCCACCCCCCCAUCUCAACCCUUCUUCCAAUUCCAUUCAUCCCCUGCCACUGCCGCCUUUUCUCCCCACCUGAACCGGAUCCCAUGGGUGAGGAUGUGGUCGAGCCACGCACCCAGGACGGCUGUCAGUGCUGGGCCGAGGGUGGAGGCCUGGGCUUGGGGUGGCAGUCUCUGCAGUCCUUGCAACACAGGCUCCAGUACGGUGCGGACCACCAACCGAGCAUAUUGACUGGGAACGCUGGGCAGUUCUGCAGUGAGAGAAGACAAAGAGCAGGAUACGAAGCUAUGGAGAUCCACUGAACCUCUAAAUGGAGUGUUUGGAGGAAAAGGCCCCUCAUCUCACCUGGAGGUCGACAGACGACCAACCCUGACCUGGGUUCUCGAAGGGCAUCCAAGAGAGGAGGGAAGAGCUGUUGCAAAAGCUCCAGAUAAGCGACUGAUGAAGUAGGCUGCAGCACAAAGAAGCCAGCUCCUUCUCACACUCCUGAGGCAGGGAUGCUGGUGGGAGAAAUGGCCCUGGAGCCUAAAACAAGGCCUCCCUUUUCCACAACCACUGAUGGGGGAGAGGGGAGGCUCAUGAUGGGUGGAAAGCAAGACCUUGCAUUGAAAGCUCAGAAGCCUAUGGUUGAAAUCUGCAGGGCAUUCAAACUAUAGCGCCUGCUUUUGUAGUCAGGCAGGGAGAAGGAAGCGACCCCAGCCUUCCCAAAUGACCACCCAGGCCCAUCACUCACCCUGACCCAGUGCCUGACUCAGCUGUUGUGCCACUGCCCUUGGUUCCCUCCAGGGUCCCAGCUUCAGGUCCAGACUCUGAGCACAGGCUGCCCACAGCAGGGUCCAAUACUGGCUCCACAGGGCUCCAGCCCCUCCAAGUCCCAGUCCACAGCUGGCUGACGCCCCCAUGCCACGCACCAGGCCCAGCAGCCCGGGCAGCAGCUCCCGCUCCUGAUCGCAAUGCCUGCGGAGCUGGUUCCGCAAGCCCGAUCCCCUGAGCACCGCAUCCAGUCGACCUGCCACCUGGGAACCCCGCUCUCCCGCCAGGAGGAGGAGCACACGGGUCAAGGGGAAAGGGCGCGCUGCCCCUGGGACGUGGCUCACGGCUUUCCCCUGCAGUUGGUGGUAGGCGGGAAGCGCCAGUAGCAGCUCAGCGAGUUGGGAUGACAGGCUUGGGCUGGAGGGUGCCCGGCCCAGAGUGCGAAGUUGCAUCUCGAUGACAGCAUCCAGGCGUUGGGCCGCUAGUCCGACGGGGCGCGCCAGGAACAGAGGCUCAAUGGUCUCCUGAAGCCCGAUUCUCAGGACGGCCCCUCGGGAAGGGAGGGGUGGCAGGUCGCGGCACA